rnacentral:lncRNA from 1 species
GGAAGUAGCAUUCUUUUUGAGAGACUGCCGUCUCUUAAAUUUAAUUUGAAAUUGUCCCAGCUUUAAGGCUGAGUCUUCAACCUUCAGCACAAGCCGUUGGUUUUUCUGUCGGUUAGAUGAGUUAACAUAGGUCCAUCCAUUCUUCUGAAAAUCAGCUGUAAUUUUAGAUUAUGUGUCUUAAGUUAAAGCCGAGCCUCAACUUUUUGCGGAAAAAAAAAUUCAUUCGCUGUUAGUAUCGCUUUCUGAACCAUAUGAUUGUGGGUGACUUCUUAAUUAAUGAUUGACAUUAAUGAUCAUCUGUUUGGUUUGCAUAGAACUGAACCACAUUUUAUUAGGCUGACGGUUUGAUAUUCACAUCACAUGAAGUCCCUCAUUCAAAACUUGGUUCAUGAAAUUCCCUAUCAAAUGCCUCAGAAAACGUCAUUUGUAAUUGUAACUUAAAAUAUGCUUCCUGUAUUCUCACUACAGCCUUAUACGUGUAAAUGAAGCUUACAUAAGAUGUUCCUGUAGGCCUAUUACUUCAUUUCUAAAUGUAACUAGUCAAGAGAGAGAACUUGCACAUUUGUAAAAUUAUUGUUUUACAGGUAUAACUUUGGGACUUUAGCAAUAGACUAAGGGACUGAUAUGGGUUCUUCUUGGAAAUGUUACGUCCUUUUUUGCUGCAUCGGUCUGAAGACGUCUCUUUGGAAUUCCAGUGCUGCCGAAUCACAGAGUUGAAGAGUGCAUCCUUUACUUUGAGGUGGCUACCAGCCAUGAAGGAUGUCUUCCCAGAGGUUUCAUGCCAUGGAGGAAGAUUCAGGACUUUGGUCUCUGUAGAAAGCCUGUCAGAAUAAGGGAGACAUACAUAGUAGUCAAUCACAUCACCAAGCUGAUGGCUCUCCCCUGGUCAUGUACCUACCCUGGGAAGCCACCAUCCUGGUGCUUUUUGAUCACAUGAAGCGUAAGGCAGCUUGAUGCUGACAUGCUGACACAGCUGUUCCAACUAUGAAGAAAACACAUGGAUUACAUCCACUUUGUGGGCACCACAGGUGUGGGCAUCCUACCACUAGUCCAUACAGUCUAACAACGAUGUAGAGGGUUGGCAUAGGAUCCUCUGUGCUGCUGCACAGUAGGGGAUGCUGUCACUCUCUGAGUUGGUGAGUCUGCUGAGCGACCAAGUCAUGCUUGUGACAAUCCAGGUUCACCUCGUCAACUAGAGGCUGUGCCGUUACCAGGGGAGCAUGUACAAGCUCGUUCAGGGAUGCCUCUUCUAGUUCUGGAAUGACUUUGUUGGCAGCAAGAAAACACUGAGGUAGCGCCUUCAUGCAAGCAUGCACCUAUACCAUUCUGUCCAUAGUUAAUGAUAAUUUUAUUGAAGCCCUUAAUUAUGAUUUAUGUGUACUUAGUUAUUUGAUUUCACAACAGUCUUCCUUCGUAUUUCAGAUUCGUUAAGCUUAUUAAUGCAUAGUGAUUGCUUUUCUUAAUUGUUAUUAAAUCCUAUUCCUUUGUUUGUUUAACUUAGACUCCAAGCAGUUGAUGAUGAUCUUUUAAUUGCAAAAGCUAUGUAAGUUAAAUCAAUUGUUAACUGUUUUCCUGGCACUUGAAGUGACCUGUCUAGUGGUCAUACUUUACAGGGUUUUGGUCGGUUAUGCUCUUACUCUCCACUGGUUCCUUUUUCACGCUAUUUUUUUCCCAUGAUGUAAACACUUGUGCCAUUUCAUGUUUUGCUGCUGUUAGCUGCCUGUGCGUUGCAUAGAAAGAAUACUGUUGUCCUGUUGUAGCCUUAUACUUUUAUAUUUCACGUGCUGAAUUUUUUGCAUAGCCCAUUUUCGUUAAAGUUGCAGAGUGGACAUUCUUGGGCAUUGACAAAGUUUCCUGUAGGGUAAAAUUAAAUAUUUCCUCGAUUUUGAUCCAACUACACCCAGCGUAAACAUCUCUUCCAAUCUGCUCCAGCCUCCGCCGGUAUUUUGAGCAAAAUAUUAUGGUGCAGCUUUCCGCAGCAGCAA